AUCGCUUCUCGGCCUUUUGGCUAAGAUCAAAGUGUAGUAUCUGUUCUUAUUUUUCUAUUUGUCUACUUAAUUUUGUACGAGAUGCUUUUAUCGCAGAAUUGUACGUUUACUAAUCACCACACAUACUCCUAGGGUUGCUGGGCACCCCUGGGCGACCGGUAAGCCUA
rnacentral:snRNA from 13 species